CAGCUUGGACAAUCCCAAUAUCCUGGAGCAUUGUUUGAUCCCAGUCUAUUUGGAAUGCAAAACAACGGAGCGAGUUUUGUGCCGAUGUUUUAUCCCUACUCAUUUCCUCCCCAGGGCUAACUUUUGGUGCUAGCUCAACAAAUGCUCCGGUCGGCCAGUCUGUUGGUAAUUUUGGGCAGGAGCAUCAGCCCCCUGGGCUAACUUUUGGUGCUACCUCAACAAAUGCUCCCGUCGGCCAGUCUGUUGCUAAUUUUUGGCAGUAACAUCAGCCCCCUGUAAGUCCACCUGUUCACAAAAAGAAAAAUCAGUAAAUUAUUUGAAAAAGAAAAAAAUCAUGUACGCUGGUUCUACCUUCAGUACAGCGAUUCAAAAGAACAAGUAGGGACAUCAGGCCACCAUACGUAAUAACACAAGGCAGAAGGUUUGGAUGAAACAGGGACAUCAAGCAAACUGUGCCUGAUCGAUGCUCCCAGUCCCAAAUAACCAGCAUGUAGCUAGGAAGAUUACCAAACAUGUUAGUGACAUCGAUCACAGAACAUGAUUAAAACACACAACAGCCUGCCCCAAGCUGACUGAGAAAAAAGAAGAAGCAUGCAUGGUCUUCCAGAGGAUAUGGGGCAAGCAAUAUCAAACAGCAAGCACAGGGACAAACAAUAAAAUGGAUGAAGUCUGUUGUUUAUAAUGUGCAUGAAUGAACAAAUUCAGUCUGUACAACAAACACACUCUUAAAUUAAGAAAAAAUGGAUGAAGUCUGUGUCUCCCCUGCUCAAAAGUUUCACCAUAAAAGCCUAAAAUGAUGUUGGUAAUUCCUCCUAGGGAGAAACACCUAAAAUCAACCCCCCCCUAGGAGGGGUGGCUAUGGUGCUCUGAAUCUAACAAAUUCAGUCUUACUGUACAAUUUCUCUAACAGAUUCUAUCAAUAAAAUUCCUGGCUGAAUGAAUCGAAAUCCUCAUCCCCCGGCUGCCCAACCCCCUAGUCCCCAACCUGACCUACACAAAAUUCACCAGCAACCAGACGGAUUGUACAGUUCAAUUCGCGGCGCUGAGUUGAACAAAGUGGAACUCCGCGUACAAACGAAAUAAAAUCGAGAUAGCGUGAGGUGGACUUGGUCUUACUCGCU